CAGCAGCCGCGGUAAUACGAAGGGGGCUAGCGUUGUUCGGAAUUACUGGGCGUAAAGCGCACGUAGGCGGAUAUUUAAGUCAGGGGUGAAAUCCCGCAGCUCAACUGCGGAACUGCCUUUGAUACUGGGUAUCUUGAGUAUGGAAGAGGUUAGUGGAAUUGCGAGUGUAGAGGUGAAAUUCGUAGAUAUUCGCAGGAACACCAGUGGCGAAGGCGGCUAACUGGUCCAUAACUGACGCUGAGGUGCGAAAGCGUGGGGAGCAAACAGGAUUAGAUACCCGCGUAGUCCCUGUCUCUUAUAC
rnacentral:rRNA from 1 species